UACGUAGGGGGCUAGCGUUGUCCGGAAUCAUUGGGCGUAAAGAGCGUGUAGGCUGCUCGGUAAGUCCGCUGUAAAAGUCAAAGGCUCAACCUUUGAAUGUCAGUGGAUACUGCCGGGCUAGAGUCCGGAAGAGGCGAGUGGAACUCCAGGUGUAGCGGUGAAAUGCGUAGAUAUCUGGAGGAACACCGGUGGCGAAGGCGACAUCCUGGACCGGCAUUGACGCUGAGGCGCGAAAGCCAGGGGAGCAAACGGG
rnacentral:rRNA from 1 species